UACGUAGGGGGCAAGCGUUGUCCGGAUUUAUUGGGCGUAAAGAGCGUGUAGGCGGCUAGGUAGGUCCGUUGUGAAAACUCGAGGCUCAACCUCGAGACGCCGAUGGAAACCAUCUAGCUAGAGUCCGGAAGAGGAGAGUGGAAUUCCUGGUGUAGCGGUGAAAUGCGCAGAUAUCAGGAAGAACACCCGUGGCUAAGGCGGCUCUCUAGUUCGGUACUGACGCUGAGACGCGAAAGCGUGGGGAGCGAACAGG
rnacentral:rRNA from 1 species